rnacentral:rRNA from 1 species
CGGGUUGCAGCAGUGGGGAAUUUUCCGCAAUGGGCGAAAGCCUGACGGAGCAACGCCGCGUGGAUGAGGAAGGCCCUUGGGUUGUAAAAUCCUUUUGUCAGGGACGAAUUCUGACGGUACCUGACGAAUAAGCAUCGGCUAACUCCGUGCCAGCAGCCGCGGUAAGACGGAGGAUGCAAGCGUUAUCCGGAAUUAUUGGGCGUAAAGCGUACGUAGGUGGUUUGCCAAGUCUGGGGUUAAAUCCCGCAGCCUAACUGCGGAACAGCCUUGGAAACUGGCAGACUUGAGUGCGGUAGGGGUAAGGGGAAUUAGUCGUGUAGCGGUGAAAUGCGUAGAUAUGACUAAGAACACCUGUGGCGAAAGCGCCUUACUGGGCCGUAACUGACGCUGAGGUACGAAAGCUAGGGGAGCGAAAGGGAUUAGAUACCCGGGU